GACGAACGCUGGCGGCGUGCUUAACACAUGCAAGUCGAGCGAGGCCCUUCCUUCGGGAAGGUGCCCUAGCGGCGAACGGGUGAGUAACACGUGGGCAACCUGCCCCUAGCACUGGGAUAACUCCGGGAAACCGGGGCUAAUACCGGAUAUGACCUUUGAGGGCAUCCUCUUUGGUGUAAAGGAUUCUGGCUAGGGAUGGGCCCGCGGCCUAUCAGCUUGUUGGUGGGGUAACGGCCUACCAAGGCGACGACGGGUAGCCGGCCUGAGAGGGCGACCGGCCACACUGGGACUGAGACACGGCCCAGACUCCUACGGGAGGCAGCAGUGGGGAAUAUUGCACAAUGGGCGAAAGACCUGAUGCAGCGACGCCGCGUGAGGGAUGACUGCCUUC
rnacentral:rRNA from 1 species